UACGUAGGGGGCAAGCGUUAUCCGGAUUUACUGGGUGUAAAGGGGGCGCAGACGGCGAUGCAAGCCAGGAGUGAAAGGCAAGGGCUCAACCUUUGGACUGCUUUGGAAACUGUGCAGCUAGAGUGUCGGAGAGGCAAGUGGAAUUCCUAGUGUAGCGGUGAAAUGCGUAGAUAUUAGGAGGAACACCAGUGGCGAAGGCGGCUUGCUGGACGAUGACUGACGUUGAGGCUCGAAAGCGUGGGGAGCAAACAGG
rnacentral:rRNA from 1 species